rnacentral:rRNA from 1 species
ACGAACGCUGGCGGCGUGCUUAACACAUGCAAGUCGAACGAUGAAGCCGCUUCGGUGGUGGAUUAGUGGCAUGACGAGUGGUAACACGUGGGCAAUCUGCCCUGCACUCUGGGACAAGCCCUGGAAACGGGGUCUAAUACCGGAUAUGACACGGGAUCGCAUGGUCUCCGUAGUGGAAAGCUGCGGCGGUGCAGGAUAAGAGGGGAUCGCGGCCUCUCACGCUUGUUGGUGGGGUGAUGGCCUACCAAGGCGACGACGGGUAGCCGGCCUGAGAGGGCGACCGGCCACACUGGGACUGAGACACGGCCCAGACUCCUACGGGAGGCAGCAGUGGGGAAUAUUGCACAAUGGGCGCAAGCCUGAUGCAGCGACGCCGCGUGAGGGAUGACGGCCUUCGGGUUGUAAACCUCUUUCAGCAGGGAAGAAGCGUGAGUGACGGUACCUGCAGAAGAAGCACCGGCUAACUACGUGCCAGCAGCCGCGGUAAUACGUAGGGUGCGAGCGUUGUCCGGAAUUAUUGGGCGUAAAGAGCUCGUAGGCGGCUUGUCGCGUCGGAUGUGAAAGCGCGGGGCUUAACCCCGGGUCUGCAUUCGAUACGGGCAGGCUAGAGUUCGGUAGGGGAGAUCGGAAUUCCUGGUGUAGCGGUGAAAUGCGCAGAUAUCAGGAGGAACACCGGUGGCGAAAGCGGAUCUCUGGGCCGAUACUGACGCUGAGGAAGCGAAAGCGUGGGAGCGAACAGGAAUAGAUACCCUGGUAGUCCACGCCCGUAACGUUGGGAACUAGGU